rnacentral:rRNA from 1 species
UACGGGGGGAGCAAGCGUUGUUCGGAUUUACUGGGCGUAAAGGGCGCGUAGGCGGCCAGCACAAGUCAGUUGUGAAAUCUCCGGGCUUAACUCGGAAAGGUCAACUGAUACUGUGCGGCUAGAGUGCAGAAGGGGCAACUGGAAUUCUCGGUGUAGCGGUGAAAUGCGUAGAUAUCGAGAGGAACACCUGCGGCGAAGGCGGGUUGCUGGGCUGACACUGACGCUGAUGCGCGAAAGCUA